AGCGAAUGGAUUAAGAGCUUGCUCUUAUGAAGUUAGCGGCGGACGGGUGAGUAACACGUGGGUAACCUGCCCAUAAGACUGGGAUAACUCCGGGAAACCGGGGCUAAUACCGGAUAACAUUUUGAACCGCAUGGUUCGAAAUUGAAAGGCGGCUUCGGCUGUCACUUAUGGAUGGACCCGCGUCGCAUUAGCUAGUUGGUGAGGUAACGGCUCACCAAGGCAACGAUGCGUAGCCGACCUGAGAGGGUGAUCGGCCACACUGGGACUGAGACACGGCCCAGACUCCUACGGGAGGCAGCAGUAGGGAAUCUUCCGCAAUGGACGAAAGUCUGACGGAGCAACGCCGCGUGAGUGAUGAAGGCUUUCGGGUCGUAAAACUCUGUUGUUAGGGAAGAACAAGUGCUAGUUGAAUAAGCUGGCACCUUGACGGUACCUAACCAGAAAGCCACGGCUAACUACGUGCCAGCAGCCGCGGUAAUACGUAGGUGGCAAGCGUUAUCCGGAAUUAUUGGGCGUAAAGCGCGCGCAGGUGGUUUCUUAAGUCUGAUGUGAAAGCCCACGGCUCAACCGUGGAGGGUCAUUGGAAACUGGGAGACUUGAG
rnacentral:rRNA from 1 species